UAAGCAUAUCAAUAAGCGGAGGAAAAGAAACUAACAAGGAUUCCCCUAGUAACUGCGAGUGAAGCGGGAAAAGCUCAAAUUUAAAAUCUGGCGGUCUUUGGCCGUCCGAGUUGUAGUCUGGAGAAGUGCUUUCCGCGCUGGACCGUGUAUAAGUCUCUUGGAACAGAGCGUCAUAGAGGGUGAGAAUCCCGUCUUUGACACGGACUACCAGUGCUUUGUGAUGCGCUCUCAAAGAGUCGAGUUGUUUGGGAAUGCAGCUCAAAAUGGGUGGUGAAUUCCAUCUAAAGCUAAAUAUUGGCGAGAGACCGAUAGCGAACAAGUACCGUGAGGGAAAGAUGAAAAGCACUUUGGAAAGAGAGUUAAACAGUACGUGAAAUUGCUGAAAGGGAAACGCUUGAAGUCAGUCGCGUCGUCCGGAACUCAGCCUUGCUUUUGCUUGGUGCACUUUCCGGUUGACGGGCCAGCAUCGAUUUUGACCGUCGGAAAAGGGCUAGAGUAAUGUGGCACCUCCGGGUGUGUUAUAGACUCUAGUCGCAUACGGCGGUUGGGAUCGAGGAACGCAGCGCGCCGCAAGGCAGGGGUUCGCCCACUUUCGCGCUUAGGA
rnacentral:rRNA from 1 species